GGCGGAUGUAGCCAAGUGGAUCAAGGCAGUGGAUUUGAAUCCACC
rnacentral:tRNA from 1 species